rnacentral:rRNA from 1 species
UACGGGGGGGGCAAGCGUUGUUCGGAAUUACUGGGCGUAAAGGGCUCGUAGGCGGCCAACUAAGUCAGACGUGAAAUCCCUAGGCUCAACCUAGGAACUGCGUCUGAUACUGGAUGGCUUGAAUCCGGGAGAGGGAUGCAGAAUUCCUGGUGUAGCGGUGAAAUGCGCAGAUAUCAGGAGGAACACCGGUGGCGAAGGCGGUUCUCUGGGCAUUACCUGACGCUGAGGAGCGAAAGUGUGGGGAGCGAACAGG